CCAAAAAUUAGUUAAAAAAUAACAUUAGUUAGUCAGACUGAAAUUAUCAUUUUUUUGAUAUUUUUG
rnacentral:tRNA from 1 species